rnacentral:rRNA from 1 species
GACGAACGCUGGCGGCGUGCCUAAUACAUGCAAGUUGAGCGAUGAAGAUUGGUGCUUGCACCAAUUUGAAGAGCAGCGAACGGGUGAGUAACGCGUGGGGAAUCUGCCUUUGAGCGGGGGACAACAUUUGGAAACGAAUGCUAAUACCGCAUAACAACUUUAAGCAUAAGUUUUAAGUUUGAAAGAUGCAAUUGCAUCACUCAAAGAUGAUCCCGCGUUGUAUUAGCUAGUUGGUGAGGUAAAGGCUCACCAAGGCGAUGAUACAUAGCCGACCUGAGAGGGUGAUCGGCCACAGUGGGACUGAGACACGGCCCAAACUCCUACGGGAGGCAGCAGUAGGGAAUCUUCGGCAAUGGACGAAAGUCUGACCGAGCAACGCCGCGUGAGUGAAGAAGGUUUUCGGAUCGUAAAACUCUGUUGGUAGAGAAGAACGUUGGUGAGAGUGGAAAGCUCAUCAAGUGACGGUAACUACCCAGAAAGGGACGGCUAACUACGUG